GACGAACGCUGGCGGCGUGCUUAACACAUGCAAGUCGAACGAAGUGGCGAACGGGUGAGUAAUACGUGGGUAACCUGCCCUCCUUUUUGGGAUAAGCCUUGGAAACGGGGUCUAAUACCGCAUAAAGGGGGAUGGGCUCGCGGCCUAUCAGCUUGUUGGUGGGGUGAUGGCCUACCAAGGCGGUGACGGGUAGCCGGCCUGAGAGGGGGACCGGCCACAUGGGGACAGAGAUACGGCCCAGAAUCCUACGGGAGGCAGCAGUGGGGGAGAUUGCACAAUGGGCGAAAGCCUGAUGCAGCGACGCCGCGUGGGGGAUGAAGGCGUUCGGGUUGUAAAGCUCUGUGAAUCGGGACACGGUAACGGAAUAGAAAGCCACGGCUAACUACGUGCCAGCAGCCGCGGUAAUUC
rnacentral:rRNA from 1 species